GCCCUUAUAGCUCAGUGGUAGAGCGCGUCACUCGUAGUUCGAGAGGUCGAUCAAGUGCCAUGACGAGGUCGCAGGUUCGACUCCUGCUGAGGGCA